rnacentral:rRNA from 1 species
AGCGCGUCGUAGUCCGGAUUGGAGUCUGCAACUCGACUCCAUGAAGUCGGAAUCGCUAGUAAUCGCAAAUCAGAAUGUUGCGGUGAAUACGUUCCCGGGCCUUGUACACACCGCCCGUCACACCAUGGGAGUGGGUUGCACCAGAAGUAGAUAGCUUAACCUUCGGGAGGGCGUUUACCACGGUGUGAUUCAUGACUGGGGUGAAGUCGUAACAAGGUAACCCUAGGGGAACCUGGGGU